rnacentral:rRNA from 1 species
UGGGGAAUAUUGGGCAAUGGGCGAAAGCCUGACCCAGCAACGCCGCGUGAAGGAAGAAGGUUUUCGGAUCGUAAACUUCUAUCCUUGGUGAAGAUAAUGACGGUAGCCAAGAAGGAAGCCCCGGCUAACUACGUGCCAGCAGCCGCGGUAAUACGUGGGGGGCAAGCGUUGUCCGGAAUGAUUGGGCGUAAAGGGCGCGUAGGCGGCCUGGUAAGUCUGGAGUGAAAGUCCUGCCUUUAAGGUGGGAAUUGCUUUGGAUACUGUCGGGCUUGAGUGCAGGAGAGGUAAGUGGAAUUCCCGGUGUGGCGGUGAAAUGCGUAGAGAUCGGGAGGAACACCAGUGGCGAAGGCGACUUACUGGACUGUAACUGACGCUGAGGCGCGAAAGUGUGGGGAGCAAACAG